CUCUAGCCCCGAUAGAAAUGGUUACCCCACAGCACGCAUUGGGAUUCCUUCGGCGCGAGGAGUAAUAAUGGAUAGCGGGAAUGAGC
rnacentral:sRNA from 1 species